rnacentral:rRNA from 1 species
AGACGUUGAUCCUGGCUCAGAACGAACGCUGGCGGCGUGCUUAAGACAUGCAAGUCGGACGGUAAGGCACCUUCGGGUGUACACGAGUGGCGCACGGGUGAGUAACGCGUGGGUAAUCUGCCCUCUCGUCUGGGACAACUCCGGGAAACUGGAGCUAAUACCGGAUGAGCCCACAGGAUCUUCGGGUCCAGCGGGAAAAGAUGGCCUCUUCUUGAAAGCUAUCGCGAGGGGAUGAGCCCGCGUCCCAUUAGUUUGUUGGUGGGGUAACGGCCUACCAAGGCGACGAUGGGUAGCUGGUCUGAGAGGAUGAUCAGCCACACUGGAACUGAGACACGGUCCAGACUCCUACGGGAGGCAGCAGUCGGGAAUUUUGGGCAAUGGGCGAAAGCCUGACCCAGCAACGCCGCGUGAGGGAUGAAGGCCCUCGGGUCGUAAACCUCUGUCGGGAGGGAAGAACGUUUUCCGGGCGAAUAGUCCGGGAGGCUGACGGUACCUCCAAAGGAAGCGCCNGCUAACUNCGUGCCAGCAGCCCGCGGUAAUACCGGAGGGC